GUCCACCUGGUUUAAAUCUCUGUCUGUUUGUCUCCUCUCCUCUCUGCAGGUCAUCAGAGCAGUGCUGCUGUCUCCUGUCCAUAUCAGACAGAUUGAUGUCCACCUGGUUUGAAUCUAUGUCAGACACAUUGUCCAGGUGUAUUCUAUAUCCUGUCAGUGAUGUUGUCCAGGUGUAUUCUAUAUCCUGUCAGUGAUGUUGUCCAGGUGUAUUCUAUAUCCUGUCAGUGAUGUUGUCCAGGUGUAUUCUAUAUCCUGUCAGUGAUGUUGUCCAGGUGUAUUCUAUAUCCUGUCAGUGAUGUUGUCCAGGUGUAUUCUAUAUCCUGUCAGUGAUGUUGUCCAGGUGUAUUCUAUAUCCUGUCAGUGAUGUUGUCCAGGUGUAUUCUAUAUCCUGUCAGUGAUGUUGUCCAGGUGUAUUCUAUAUCCUGUCAGUGAUGUUGUCCAGGUGUAUUCUAUAUCCUGUCAGUGAUGUUGUCCAGGUGUAUUCUAUAUCCUGUCAGUGAUGUUGUCCAGGUGUAUUCUAUAUCCUGUCAGUGAUGUUGUCCAGGUGUAUUCUAUAUCCCGUCAGUGAUGUUGUCCAGGUGUAUUCUAUAUCCCGUCAGUGAUGUUGUCCAGGUGUAUUCUAUAUCCUGUCAGUGAUGUUGUCCAGGUGGUGUAUUCUAUAUCCUGUCAGUGAUGUUGUCCAGGUGUAUUCUAUAUCCUGUCAGUGAUGUUGUCCAGGUGUAUUCUAUAUCCCGUUAGUGAUGUUGUCCAGGUGUAUUCUAUAUCCCGUUAGUGAUGUUGUCCAGGUGUAUUCUAUAUCCUGUCAGUGAUGUUGUCCAGGUGUAUUCUAUAUCCCGUUAGUGAUGUUGUCCAGGUGUAUUCUAUAUCCCGUUAGUGAUGUUGUCCAGGUGUAUUCUAUAUCCUGUCAGUGAUGUUGUCCAGGUGUAUUCUAUAUCCCGUUAGUGAUGUUGUCCAGGUGUAUUCUAUAUCCUGUCAGUGAUGUUGUCCAGGUGUAUUCUAUAUCCCGUCAGUGAUGUUGUCCAGGUGUAUUCUAUAUCCUGUCAGUGAUGUUGUCCAGGUGUAUUCUAUAUCCUGUCAGUGAUGUUGUCCAGGUGUAUUCUAUAUCCCGUCAGUGAUGUUGUCCCUAAUGGAAAGGCAUGUCAGAGCCCUGUCCUCCAGUGAGUCAGGUUUCCUCAUCGUAUCCAUGGUGUAUUUCAUCCGUUCCUCGUCUCCGAGGUUAAAAGACAGCGAUGGUUGUUUCUCUCCGUGGCUUGUUGAGGAGGUCUCCAGGGGUGGUGGGAUGAUGGGAAACCGCCGGGGUGUUGUAGGAAUCUGUCAUACAGCAGAAGGAACUGCUCAUCUUCCACCAACCUGAAAAUCAGAAGAAAACAACAUUCUAGUUCCAGGAGACAGUGACGUCCCGUUUGUGUUUUUCACCUAGAUGCCUCAGUACCU